rnacentral:rRNA from 1 species
GAUGAAUGCUGGCGGCGUGCCUAAUACAUGCAAGUCGAGCGAACGGACGAGAAGCUUGCUUCUCUGAUGUUAGCGGCGGACGGGUGAGUAACACGUGGAUAACCUACCUAUAAGACUGGGAUAACUUCGGGAAACCGGAGCUAAUACCGGAUAAUAUUUUGAACCGCAUGGUUCAAAAGUGAAAGACGGUCUUGCUGUCACUUAUAGAUGGAUCCGCGCUGCAUUAGCUAGUUGGUAAGGUAAUGGCUUACCAAGGCAACGAUGCAUAGCCGACCUGAGAGGGUGAUCGGCCACACUGGAACUGAGACACGGUCCAGACUCCUACGGGAGGCAGCAGUAGGGAAUCUUCCGCAAUGGGCGAAAGCCUGACGGAGCAACGCCGCGUGAGUGAUGAAGGUCUUCGGAUCGUAAAACUCUGUUAUUAGGGAAGAACAUAUGUGUAAGUAACUGUGCACAUCUUGACGGUACCUAAUCAGAAAGCCACGGCUAACUACGUG